AGUGAACUAAGUUUGAUUCACUUUCUACAAGGUGGGUGGUUAUGGUCCAGUGCAGAUCGCGAGUGGAAAAUUUGACUGUGUACAAGACAGACGGUAGAAGACACAAACGGAAACUUGAGUUCAACACAAAACUAUAUUCCAUGAAUUAAAAUGAGGGUUUCGCAUUCAGGGCGGUUCAUUAGGGCACCUACGAACAAAUUUUAUUAUACUUACGUAUUUUUUAAAAAUCAAAAUUGCAUACUUUGAUUACAGAACAUACCAACACGACCACUAAAAAAACCAUUAACGUGCCACUUAUAAUAACCGGCCUGCAACCAAAUAUUCAGUACCAACAUGGCAACAAAACGCAAAAAAUUACCAUAUAUACCACGGCACUGGAAAGCAACACCCAUCUACGCAACACCCGGAAUCACAAGAAACGAUGCGAAUUUCCUGACUGUCCAUUCCGUGUUUGCACUAAUUCACAAACUUCCAUAAGUGAUUAAUUUAUAUUACAUUUCUAAAAACAAAAACUGAAAUCACAAGAAUUGGUUGGUGCUAUUUCAGCUACUGCUUAGCCCGAAUUCAUUAUUUAUUUAUAAAACCACUUUUUGCGGUGACUGGAAUCGCAUGAAUAAAGAUUAGGAUUUAGGAGAGGAUUUCACCGAACCGUGGUGUCACUUCGUGAUUUUAUGGGUCGUUCUUUUAUUUUUUUUUCCGUAGAGCUAAUUAACGUUUUAGAUUAGAAACACUGAAAGUAAACAUGUUGUCGAUUUUGUUA